rnacentral:lncRNA from 12 species
GGAAUGGCUCCCAAGGAACCCAGAAAUCCAUCCACAAAAGAAGAGCACGGAUUCGGUCCUGCAGAUAAUCAGGUACCACUGUGAAAAAUAGUGAGCCACUGCACUGCAGAGAAAUUUGUGGAUUCUGGAAAAAAAUUAAGAUAAGGGAAAAAAAAAAGAUAAUUCGCAUGUCUUAAUAUAUUUAAGUAAGUGUAUGUCUGCAAACCUACACACACCCCUGCUGCAUCCUUCAGAUUAACGCUGUUGGGAAUUUUCCUGGAAGCGAGCUCAGCCCCCAAGCCAAGCACUGCGGCGCUGGGCAGCGGUGACCAGCACAAACAGCUGUCCUUCCCUGCGCUCCCGGCGCCUGCCCCAGCUGCUGUCCUGCCCCGCAGCAGCGGCGCUUUGGGAACAGGCGCGGCAAAGCAAGGCAAAGGAGGAGAGCGAAGGCAGCAGGGGAGCACCAGAGAGAUCGCCGCAGUGUCUUCUGCACCAGGGACGGUCGCUGUUUUUACCUUCAGACGGCGGCGGAGGGGGACGCGCGGUGCCGCUGGUUCCUGCCACCGCGUUUGCCCGGGGCUCUCUCCCGUUCGAGGACAGCACUGAGUGCCAGAGUCAAAGCAGCGAUUCUCGGUCGUGCCCCGACCCACUGCGUGCCGGCCGGACACUGCAACAACCGGCUUUGUGUCAUGGCAUAGACACUAGCCUACAGCAGGAACCCGGGAGGCAGAGAUCUAGCACCGGCGAGUGGUUAUUUCACUCUGUUUGCAGCAUCUGCGCAGCUUCCAGGUCAGGCACGUUGUGCCUAGCUGGGUUGAAGAAGUUUAGUUUGCAGCAUCUGCGCAGCUUCCAGGUCAGGCACGUUGUGCCUAGCUGGGUUGAAGAAGUUUAGGAAGAGUCUGUGUCUCUGAGUGUAGAUGUGGUUGAAGAAUUUAUUGGCCGGUUUUUAGGAAGAGUCUGUGUCUCUGAGUGUAGAUGUGCUUGAAGAAUUUAUUGGCCUGUUUUCCUAGCUGGGUUGAAGAAGUUUAGGAAGAGUCUGUGUCUCUGAGUGUAGAUGUGGUUGAAGAAUUUAUUGGCCGGUUUUUUGGACUGUUUCACUGUAAACAAAACGGGAUUUUGAUACUGUAUUUAAAUAAUCCUCAGUUACAACCAGACUCCAUGUACAGUCUUACCUGUGCUAACUGUAUAGCUAAUGGUUUGUCAUUAAUGUCUUGAGUCUUCUCAUUGCGUCUGUGCAAUGCUGAUGUGAUGAUCCACGGCACAAGAUUUGGCUGUUUCUCAGGGCGUUUAACAAGUCUAACAGAAGGCUGUUCCAGGGAUUUUGAUACCUCAGCUAACUUGAACGUGCCAAGACCUUUGUAUGUUGUUUAUGGAAACCUUAGGUUUACACUUCUUUCUAAAGCAAUUUCUUUUAUCAUUCCUGAGGAGUUUUCUUGCCCCGAAGAGCUGUAGACCUCAUGUUGUUUAAUGUCCUCUCUGGCGAAUGAGGGAAUAAAAUGCACGGUACAUUAAAUGAAUUAAAAUAUUAAUUCAAUAACAACCUCCUUUCAAAAGAGAAAAUGAUUCUUUAGUAUUCCAUUUUAUUCCUUUCUGUUUGUCUUAGUAACUUAGGCGUAUUAUCUUUUGCUAGUACUUUUAGAUUACCUCUUCAGUUAACUUCCUGACUUCUGAUUUAUACUUUGUCCAUUUCUUUUGUAUUAUAACCUGCUUGAUCAAUUAGAUUGGAAGGUGUGCAACAGUUUUUUCAGCCUUUUUAUGAGCCAUAAGAGGGUGCCACUUCCAAUUACUCUACUAGCAAUAAAGAGGAAAUGCAGAGUGUUAUAAAAAUACACAAAAAUGAAAAAAAAAAUUAAAAUCUUAUGAGCGUUUGACAAGAAUUUUGGAUAAGAGCUAGUUGACAUACCCUUAAAUCAAAACAUGAAGUGAGGAUACAGGAUUUGUGGGUGGGAUGUACACUUGGGAGGUGGGAGGACCCUCUCUAGAGUUUGCCUUCUGACAUUUACCUUCUUGGUAUGCUGUAUAAACACAGAUGACAACUUACUGUGGCCUAUCAACCAGUGGUGUUUCCCAAAUAACUGGUUGAUCUCUAGAGUGUAUUUCCACCAGCUGGAGUGACACAGCAGACAGCUGCACAUAUGUGAAAUACUUUCCUCGUAUCACUUUUCCAUGUGAGCCACUACUGCAAUUGUGACAGGGAUGUGGCUCACUCAUUAAUGGGAAGGGAGCUGGCCCACAAAAUGUUGAGUAGGUAGAAAAGCAGCUUGCAAAGCUGCAUCUCUUAAGUUGAGGUCUUCCACUAUGAAAGCACUUGAGAACUUCUCAGCCUAUGGAUUUUGAUACGUACCAUAACUAUCAAAGAAAGAAACAGAGAGGAGAAAGUCUUACCCAAAGCAUGAGCAAAGGAGAAGCAGAAUGAGUGUUAAUCUUUUUUUUUCAAGUUAUGAUGAGUUACAGCAUAAAAUGCUGACUCUUGAUAUUCGUAACUUUACUUGCAUGGAAAAUUUUUGACUUCUGUGAGAGAUGCCUCUCUGUUGCUUGUUUUCCUCUCAUCCCUCCCAUUUGCUCUCAGUGUUCAGACAAUAUUUCAGCAGCAAUUGUUUAAAAGAGGAGAUCAGAACCAUUUAUGGCUGAGAGUUUUAAGACUAAUCAAUUUCUUAUUGUUUUUAAACAGCAUACCUUGUGACUGACCUUCUCUUUUUUCCAAAAUAUCUUCAGCUGGGC